CCAAAGGCUCUUUUCAGAGCCACCCACAUCUUCAUAUGAGAGCUCG
rfam:Dipodomys ordii contig_70646, whole genome shotgun sequence.